rnacentral:rRNA from 1 species
UACGUAGGGGGCGAGCGUUGUCCGGAUUUAUUGGGCGUAAAAGGCUUGUAGGUGGCCACGCCAAGUCGGAUGUGAAAUCUCCCGGCUCAACUGGGAGGGGUCAUUCGAUACUGGCGGGCUCGAGGCCGGUAGGGGGUAGCGGAAUUCCCGGUGUAGUGGUGGAAUGCGUAGAUAUCGGGAGGAACACCAGUGGCGAAGGCGGCUACCUGGACCGGUACUGACGCUGAGACGCGAAAGCGUGGGGAGCAAACAGG